GAUGAACGCUGGCGGCGUGCUUAACACAUGCAAGUCGAACGGAAAGGCCUCUGCUUGCAGGGGUACUCGAGUGGCGAACGGGUGAGUAACACGUGGGUGAUCUGCCCUGCACUUCGGGAUAAGCCUGGGAAACUGGGUCUAAUACCGGAUAGGACAAUGGUUUGGAUGCCGUUGUGGAAAGUUUUUCGGUGUGGGAUGAGCUCGCGGCCUAUCAGCUUGUUGGUGGGGUAAUGGCCUACCAAGGCGACGAUACAUAGCCGACCUGAGAGGGUGAUCGGCCACACUGGGACUGAGACACGGCCCAGACUCCUACGGGAGGCAGCAGUAGGGAAUCUUCGGCAAUGGACGGAAGUCUGACCGAGCAACGCCGCGUGAGUGAAGAAGGUUUUCGGAUCGUAAAGCUCUGUUGUAAGAGAAGAACGAGUGUGAGAGUGGAAAGUUCACACUGUGACGGUAUCUUACCAGAAAGGGACGGCUAACUACGUGCCAGCAGCCGCGGUAAUACGUAGGCCCCGAGCGUUGUCCGGAUUUAUUGGGCGUAAAGCGAGCGCAGGCGGUUAGAUAAGUCUGAAGUUAAAGGCUGUGGCUUAACCAUAGUACGCUUUGGAAACUGUUUAACUUGAGUGCAAGAGGGGAGAGUGGAAUUCCAUGUGUAGCGGUGAAAUGCGUAGAUAUAUGGAGGAACACCGGUGGCGAAAGCGGCUCUCUGGCUUGUAACUGACGCUGAGGCUCGAAAGCGUGGGGAGCAAACAGGAUUAGAUACCCUGGUAGUCCACGCCGUAAACGAUGAGUGCUAGGUGUUGGACCCUUUCCGGGGUUUAGUGCCGCAGCUAACGCAUUAAGCACUCCGCCUGGGGAGUACGACCGCAAGGUUGAAACUCAAAGGAAUUGACGGGGGCCCGCACAAGCGGUGGAGCAUGUGGUUUAAUUCGAAGCAACGCGAAGAACCUUACCAGGUCUUGACAUCCCUCUGACCGCUCUAGAGAUAGAGUUUUCCCUCGGGACAGAGGUGACAGGUGGUGCAUGGUUGUCGUCAGCUCGUGUCGUGAGAUGUUGGGUUAGGUCCCGCAACGAGCGCAACCCCUAUUGUUAGUUGCCAUCAUUCAGUUGGGCACUCUAGCGAGACUGCCGGUAAUAAACCGGAGGAAGGUGGGGAUGACGUCAAAUCAUCAUGCCCCUUAUGACCUGGGCUACACACGUGCUACAAUGGCUGGUACAACGAGUCGCAAGCCGGUGACGGCAAGCUAAUCUCUUAAAGCCAGUCUCAGUUCGGAUUGUAGGCUGCAACUCGCCUACAUGAAGUCGGAAUCGCUAGUAAUCGCGGAUCAGCACGCCGCGGUGACUACGUUCCCGGGCCU
rnacentral:rRNA from 1 species